rnacentral:rRNA from 1 species
GACGAGGGGUCCAAGCGUUGUUCGGAAUCAUUGGGCGUAAAGCGGGUGUAGGCGGCUCUGUAAGUCAGGAGUGAAAGCCCCAAGCUUAACUUGGGAAGUGCUUUUGAUACUGCGGAGCUUGAAUGUGGGAGAGGGUAGUGGAAUUCCAGGUGUAGUGGUGAAAUACGUAGAUAUCUGGAGGAACACCGGUGGCGAAGGCGGCUA